rnacentral:rRNA from 1 species
UACAGAGGGGGCAAGCGUUGUCCGGAAUCACUGGGCGUAAAGGGCGCGUAGGCGGCGCGGGAAGUCAUCGGUGAAAGUUCAGGGCUCAACUCUGAAUCGGCCGGUGAUACUCUCGUGCUCGAGCACUGUAGAGGCAGGUGGAAUUCCGGGUGUAGCGGUGGAAUGCGUAGAGAUCCGGAAGAACACCAGUGGCGAAGGCGACUCGCUGGACAAGUAUUGACGCUGAGGUGCGAAAGCGUGGGGAGCAAACAGG